rnacentral:rRNA from 1 species
ACCCGCUGAACUUAAGCAUAUUAAUAAGCGGAGGAAAAGAAACUAACAAGGAUUCCCUUAGUAACGGCGAGUGAAGUGGGAAUAGCUCAAAUUUGAAAUCUCACAGAGUUUUUCUGUGCGAAUUGUAGUUUAGAGAAGCGUUUUCCAAGGGUUGCUUGGGUAUAAGUCCUCUGGAAUGGGGUAUCAUAGAGGGUGAGAAUCCCGUUUAUGAUCCAAGUGGACCUUUUUUGUGAUACGCUUUCCAAGAGUCAGGUAGUUUGGGAUUGCUGCCUAAAAUGGGUGGUAAAUACCAUCUAAAGCUAAAUAUUGGUGAGAGACCGAUAGUGAACAAGUACCGUGAGGGAAAGAUGAAAAGAACUUUGAAAAGAGAGUUAAACAGUACGUGAAAUUGCCAAAAGGGAAACGCUUGGAACCAGUAUUAUCUGCUGGUAAUCAGCUAGAUGGUUUGCAAAAGCCUAUCUUAGUGCACUUACUAGUGGAUGGGUCAACAUCAGUUUGGUUUGAAGUAAAAGAUCAAAGAAAGGUAGCUUGAACUUUAGUUUGAGUGUUAUAGUCUUUGGUUAUGCUUUGGACUAGACUGAGGUCUGCAGCGUUACUUGGGUAGCCAGUUACCUUUUGAUCUUCAUUUUCUGACAGCUUGCUGGCUGAAAAUGAUGCUAGAAAGCUUAGCUGGUAGUCCACACCAACGCUUAGGAUGUUGAUGAAAUGGUUUCAAACGACCCGUCUUGAAACACGG